AUGUCCAACAUCUUCGGCAAGAAAGGGAAGAGUUUCAACGGUCCAGAUUCGCCGCAGAGUCGUGCUGCACGCGUGCGGUUCAAGAGCGCGAGCCUGAACUGCGUCGACUCGCCCAAGAAGCAGAAUGACGACACCUGCAAAUACAGGGUGUUCGUUGGUACGUGGAACGUGGGAGGGAAGAACCCGAACGACGGGCUUAACCUGCAGGACUUCCUGCAGGUGGACGAGUCCUCCGACAUUUACGUCUUAGGGUUUCAGGAGAUCGUUCCCCUGACCGCCGGCAACGUGCUGGUCCUGGAGGACAACGAGCCGGCGGCGAGGUGGCUGGCGCUCAUCCACCAGGCGCUCAACCACCCGCAGGAGCAGCCGGACAGCGACGAGCCGCCGACGCAGCCGCCGGAGCCCGGCUCCGCCGACGCCGGCCGGCAGCAGAACCGCCGGCGCGACGCCAUGGCCAACAGGUCCUCCAGCGGCAACCUCUUCUUCCAGACGCCGUCGCUCAAGCUCCUCAGCAACAGCUACCGCGUCGACAGCGCGCUCGUCAAGACGUGCAACUGCUCCGCGGAGGCGUCCCUGCAGCGGCGCCGCGCCACGGAGGUGCGCGAGUCCGUGUACCGCGCCGCCGAGACGCCCCCCGCGAGCACGGCCGCCGAGGCGGCGUCGACGUCGGCCGGCGGCUGGGACGACGACGGCGCCGGCGCCGGCACGCCGGGUCAGUGCGAGUCGCCGGCGGCGGACGGCGGCGGCAUGAGCUACUGCCUGAUCGCGAGCAAGCAGAUGGUGGGGCUGUUCCUGUCGGUGUGGGUGAAGAAGGAGCUGGUGGAGCACGUGGGGCACCUCCGGGUGGACUGCGUCGGCCGGGGCAUCAUGCGCUGGCUGGGCAACAAGGGCUGCAUCGCCAUGAGCAUGACGCUGCACCACACCAGCCUCUGCUUCGUGUGCAGCCACCUGGCCUCCGGCGAGAAGGAGGGCGACGAGGUCCGGAGGAACGCCGACGUCGCCGAGAUCCUCAAGAGCGCGCACUUCCCCCGCGCAUGCAAGUCCUCCGCCGCCCACCAGCGCGUCCUCCCCGAGCGGAUCCUCGAGCACGACAAGAUGAUCUGGCUCGGGGACCUGAACUACCGGGUCUCCCUGAGCUACGAGGAGACGAGGACACUGCUGGAGGAGAACGACUGGGACGCUCUGCUGGAAAAGGACCAGCUGAUGAUCGAGAGGGAGGCGGGGAGGGUGUUCGGGGGCUGGAAGGAGGGCAAGAUCAGCUUCGCUCCGACGUACAAGUACACGCAGAACUCCGACGCGUACGCCGGCGAGACGGUCAAGUCCAAGAAGAAGCGGCGAACGCCGGCAUGCGUAGGUGCGACCGGAUACUGUGGCACGGCGACGGCAUCGAGCAGCUGCAGUACCUGCGGGGCGAGUCCAGGUUCUCCGACCACCGGCCGGUCUGGGGCGUGUUCGCCGUCGAGGUGGAGGCCGGCGGCGGCAGGAUGA
rnacentral:rRNA from 1 species